UACGUAGGGUUCAAGCGUUAUCCGGAAUCACUGGGCGUAAAGCGUGCGUAGGUGGCGUGUUAAGUGCAAUGCGAAAUCCUGUGGCUCAACCAUAUGGACUGUAUUGCAUACUGGCAUGCUAGAGGACGGCAGAGGCGAGUGGAAUUCCUGGUGUAGCGGUGAAAUGCGCAGAUAUCAGGAGGAACACCAAUUGCGAAGGCAGCUCGCUGGGACGUUACUGACGCUGAGACGCGAAAGCGUGGGGAGCAAACAGG
rnacentral:rRNA from 1 species